AUGCAUUAUAUACAUAUAUACAUACCUCUAAAACCAAGCAUGUUGAGACUUUUUAAAUAUACACAAGAAAAUGCAUUGUGGGCAUUGCGGCGUCUAGCUCAGAAAGUUUCAUGGCGGCAACUUUUGCCGAAGAUAAACCAACAAUUUAGUAGUCAAGGAACCAUCCUUUUUCCUUAUGCAUGGAAGAAAAAGAUCAUCUUUAGCUGUACUGCACUAUUUGGGUGCACACUCAAUACAAUAUCUUUAGCUUCUUCAAUAUGUUCAGGAUGGUACUUGCUUUCGUUUAUGUUUGUGUCAUCAUUUCUUACAAUCUAA
rnacentral:rRNA from 1 species